rnacentral:rRNA from 1 species
CAGUAGCCACGGUAAUACGAAGGGUGCAAGCGUUACUCGGAAUUACUGGGCGUAAAGCGUGCGUAGGUGGUGGUUUAAGUCCGUUGUGAAAGCCCUGGGCUCAACCUGGGAAUUGCAGUGGAUACUGGGUCACUAGAGUGUGGUAGAGGAUAGUGGAAUUUCCGGUGUAGCAGUGAAAUGCGUAGAGAUCGGAAGGAACAUCUGUGGCGAAGGCGACUAUCUGGGCCAACACUGACACUGAGGCACGAAAGCGUGGGGAGCAAACAGGAUUAGAUACCCCAGUAGUCCCUGUCUCUUAUAC